rnacentral:rRNA from 1 species
ACGUUCAUAUAACUUAUAUGGUAUUCUAACUAAGAAAUGAAAACUAGAAUAAAGUAUAAAGACUAGUAAGUUGUACUUUUUGAAUAACGGUUUCCUGAACCUUUACGUAUUUUGAGCCCGAAAUAGUAAGAUCUAUGAAUUUACGAAGCUAAUGUAGCAAAAUCAGCUUAGAAUUGAUUCAUAGGAGCGAAAAACUUUCAAUUACUAUAAUAUCUGGAUUUCCCCUAAAAGUAUUUAGUGCAUAAAGGUGAAUCAACAAGUGAUUAGAUUUGUUGGAAAGAAUAUAAUAAAUAGUAAAGAUUUAUGGAUUAAUCUCCACGUAACUUUAGAUCAAAAUAUUAAUUUGUUAGCAUUUCUUUACUAGGGGAAUAGAAUAACUUAUUUGAAUUUAUUGGAAAAUUAGUAAAAUUGCAAAAAGAAGUUAAGGAACUCGGCAAAUCUAGAUUUCGACUGUUUACCAAAAACAUAGCCCUAAGAAUUUAUUUAGGGUAAUACCUGCCCAAUGAGAAAUUUAAUGGCCGCGGUACUUUGACCGUGCUAAGGUAGCAUAAUCAGUUGACUUUUAAAUGAAGUCUGGAAUGAAAGGGGGAACGGAAUUUAGCUGUCUUAACUUUUUUAAUUUGAAUUUACUAACUAAGUGAAAAGGCUUAGAAAAGAUAAAAGACGAGAAGACCCUAAGAGUUUUGAGAAUAUUUUUGUUGGGGCGACAUAGGGUCAAUUUAACACCCUAAAGAUAUGGGACGGAUUUAUCAUGCUAAGAUAAACUACCUUAGGGAUAACAGCAUAAUUCUUUUGAGUUUGUGACCUCGAUGUUGGACUAGGAAGCCUUUAGGCUAGCUGCCUAAAAGGGUGAUUCUGUUCGAAUUUUUACUCCUACAUGAUCUGAGUUCAGACCGGCGCAAGCCAGGUCAGUUUCUAUCUUUUAUAAAUAAGGCCCUAGUACGAAAGGACCGGGUCUUAGUUUGAUG